CUUCCAUGUUGUAUUCAUAACAUGACUUGAUUGCUAUUUAUCCACUGCCGUGUAUGUAUGAACAUUUUGAUGUCUGAUGUUGCUUAGCUUACUAAUUAUAGCUGCUUAGCUAAUUGCCAUGUUGAAUCAUGUGAUGUUGCAUGGUUUGAUCUGUACUUUACAAUCAUGAGUGCUAGUUUGUUAGAAGAACAUUUUAGGACCUUGUGUUAUAUGCUUGCUAGCAUGCUUACAUGUUUUGCUUAGAUACUAUGUAUCUAUCAGUUGUUUGUUACAUGCUUAUACUAGGUUGUCUUCACAUGCUUAUGCUUACUUGUUGAAACAUAUGUUUUUCUAAAUGUUAUGCUAUGCUUGUAUGGUUAUUGUCCAUAUGUCUUUGUCAUUCUAAGCAUCUGGUAGUUAUAUUGUUGUUAUUGCAUUUCGUUGUACCUCUUGUGUAAGUUGUACAUUGUCUCGAUGCAUAUGUGUUCCAUAAUCUUGUGGUGCAUGAUUUGCUUUGUGUAGUAGCAUAUAGUAACAAGCAUCUCAUGUGUGUUUAUUAAGAUCAUGCCAUCAGUAUAAAUUUUUGCUUGUUUUACUAGUAUAGAAUCAUGAAUGACUUGUUUAUUAGUCUUUUAUCUGAUGAGAUUAUAAAUCAUGUGCUUUGUCUUAGCUGUAUAGAAUUGUGCUUGCAUGCUUAGAUAGUCUCCUAUGGGUUUGUCUUUACCUUAUAGUUGUUUAUCGAUGGUUUAUUACUAUCCUUGAGAGAAUUCAUGCUUUGUUUCUCAAUAAUUGUUGCCUUGUAUAAGUCCAUAAUUGUUUUUAUAGCUUUAUCUUGCAUAGAUAUCUAUCUUAACAUUUGUCAGGCUCUUAUCCUUGUUAUGAUUGUUAGAUUCAUUAUGCUUUUUGUUUGUAUCACUAGUAUGAUAGGAGUUGUUUGAUGCUUGCAAACUAGCAUGAUAAGGUGUAUUGUUUUGUGACUGUUUAGAUUUAUGCUUGAGCUAUAUGAUUAGUAGCACUGUGACUAUUUGGUGUAGUAUAAUAUUUUAUAAAGGGUAUGACCAAUCAAGCUAUAUUCCUCAUUCUGGGAAUGUAGUUUACUUUGUUAGAAUCAAUCUCAUUGUUCCAUCUUAUCAAAGUUGUUCCUAUCAUUUCCAAGUUUCCAAACCUAUUUUGAGCCGCCUUGUCUAUUCACUCUCCUAUUUGCAUUUCAUUUGGUUUUAUUGUUUUUUUAUUUAUUUUGUUUGUUCUGGUUACCGCUACGACGAGUAGAGAGUGACGAGGGGAACUAGGACAAGAAUCUGAAGCUGAAGAAGAAGAAUUCAUCAACGGAGGCCCUCUCUUUGAUCAUAUUUAUCCUAUGUUUUCAAAUGGGCAUUAGUUAGUUAUUUUAUUGUUUUAUAAACAUGCAUGCUAUUUUAUUCCUGUAGCUAGUGUGUCGAUUGACACUUUGCCAUGAUCUGCUUGUCGCCAUUCCUUUGAUACCUGGAAUAGUUUUAUAUAGUAAUUGUAGAGUAGAAAUGCUUAGCCAUGCUCAUAUUAUUCACUAGGAAGUCUCUUCAAGGAUUCUAAGUGAUCUUCGGAUCGAUGAUACCAUUACUGAAAGUUGUUGAGCUUGCCGAGCUAGGCGUAGUCCCUCUUCUUGGAAUCCCUUUCUACUCUCUCUACCUACUCUGGGUGAAACUUACCAUACAACUGUUGCGGGCGGCAGCUGGAUCAGUGGUUGAAGGAGCAAUUGCUAGCCUGUGUGGGAGCAAUUAGCCGCCUGUAGCGGAUGAGGCCUAAUAAGUCUUGAAUCCGAAGAUUGUGACAACAGUGCGACCACAUGCUAUAUGGGCUCUGGCUUGGUCAAGUAAGCUAGUCAGCCUUAGGUGCCGAUGAUGCCGUACCGCAAAUGGGGUGUCACCUGUGAUGGGAGAACCCUCGGCACAGAUGGGGGGGACCGGAGAUGGGGACGUACUCUCAUUCCGUGCGCUAGACCCGGUGGGCUCGUCACAUCUUUGGGGGAGGUAGCUAAAAUACCUCGUCAUGGUCUCGCUGUCGAUACACUGAGGGCUGUGUUCACCAUUAGCGCAACUGGUUAGGCACAAGGCGAGAUCAUGUCGUGUGGGUACAACGUACAACCUCUGCAGAGUGUAAAACUAUUCGAAUAGCUGUGUCCACAGUCAUGAACGGCACAUGAUUCUUUCUUGACAUACGGGAUCUGUCUUCUUUCCCUUCCUUCCUCCCUCUCGGACUUCUUGCUGGAACUGAGGAUUUGGGUGAGUGGUCGAGGACCCCCACGUUGUUGGAUAAUGCUUUGAAGAUAGACUUGUUUUUAUCAAAACCUGCCUAUCAAAAGUAUGGCAGUAUUUCCAAUAAAAUCGCUUUUAUGCAAAAGAGCCAUAUAGCCUUCCUUUGAAGCCAACAUAUAGUUAUCAG
rnacentral:lncRNA from 1 species